CUGAGAACAAAGGAUCCACUGCACAGAUGGUCAAUUACCGGUUCGCAACAUUGUUGCAACCGGUAAUUGAAGGCACACUUCACACUGGGGAGGUCUGACUGUUCGGUAGUUUCAUUCCCAUAAUUGCUAGAAUGUUUCUACCGAACAAUCAGACGAAUACUGCAUACAUUUCCACAUAUUACCUUGCAAUUUAACCAAAGACAUUAAAAUACAUGAAAGUACCUUAAAAGACACAAAUUGUGAUAGUUCAAUGUCCUUUGCUGCAUAAGGUAUAUAGUCCGAAGUCUCUGUAAUAGUACUUAGCUAGGUCUUAAAGGGCCGGUAGUGCCAAACAAAAUCCCAUUAAUUCCAGCCAUUGUACUUAAAGGGGUCCUAUCUUUCUGGGGCCAUAAUCACUGGGCAGGAGGUGCGCCAGCAGCCCCCUCCAGGAAACUGGGGCGUAC